UGUCUUCAUCUGUUUUGCGGCCAUAACACAAAUAACCUUAUGCUGGGUUGCUUAUAACAACCAGAAAUUUACUGCUCACAAUUCUGUGGUCUUGGGAAGUCCAAGAUCAAGAUCCUGGUAGGCUUACUGUCUGCUGAAGCCUCCUUCCUAGUUCAUGGAUGGCACCUUGUAGCUGGGCCCUCACACGGUGGGAGGGAUGAGGUGUCUCUUGGGAGUCUCUUUUUUAAGGGCACUGAUCUUAUUCAUAAGGGCUCCACUGUCACAACCUCAUCAACUCCUGAAGACCCCAUCUUCUAAUGCUACCCAAUUGGCAGUUAGGAUUUCAACAUGUGAGUUGGAGGAGGCAUACACAUUCCUUGCAGGUGAUAAGCAACAGUGACUGAAACAAUCACAAGAAAAAGCUUUGGAAUAAGAUAUCUACGGGAGGUUGGGGAAGCUCUGCUGGAUUCUUGGGAAUCUGGAUGGCCACACACAUGUGCAAGUCUGUGUGCAUAGCUGGAAAAGACCCAAGAAGACCAUGAGUUUCUAUACAAGCAGGAAGCAAAGGCUGAGUACACGUAAACUCCCAGAGCACUGAAUGUGUGCCCCAGCAUGCACACAGAGCUUUGCAGGAAAGGCUGGAGGAAUUUCAAAAUAUAUAAGGUAAUAUAUGUUAGAUGACAAGUAAGCUAACCAGGCCAAGACUUCACUGGCCACAGGCAAUAAAUAAUAUACAACUUUAUGCUUUAUAGACUUGGUUCACAGGGCACUGAACAAAUAGCAGCAGCAGUAAUGCUUUCAAAAAUGAAAACCAGCUACAAAUCCUAGGCAGUGGGGGAAUCGGAUUUCCAGAAUUGACAAAUUAAUUUUUUUCAGAUUUUUAUUUAUUUAUUUGAGAGGUAGAGUUACAGACACAGAGAGGGAGUCAGAGAGAAAGGUCUUCCAUCUGCUGGUUCACUCCCCAAAUGGCCGCACAGCCAGAGUUGCACUGAUCCAAAGCCAGGAGCCAGGAGCUUCUUCCGGGUCUUCUAUGUGAGAGCAGGGGCACAAGCACAUGGGUCAUCUUCCAUUGCUUUCUCAGGCCAAAACAGAGAGCUGGAUUGGAAGAGGAGUAGCUGGGACAUGAGCUGGUACCCAUAUGUAAUGCUGACAUCUCAGGCAGAGGCUGUGCCAGCCUCCAAAUUCAAUUAUUUUAAAUAUCCAGUUUUAAUAAAUUUGUAAGAAAAAUGUUGUGAAUUAUGCAAAGAAACAGAUUACACACUUACAAGGGAAUAAAAGCAAUCAAUUAAUGCUUGCAUGUUGGAUUUACUAGACACAGACUUUAAAUUAACUACCGUAAAUAUUCCAAAGAACUCAAAGUAACCAUCUGGAAAAAUAAAAUGUGGUAAUGAUAUCUUACCAAAUAAAGAUUACCGAUACAGAGAUUAAAAAGUUAAAAAAAAAAACUAAAGAAAAGUUCUGGAGAUGAAAAGUACAAUAGCUAAAAUAAAAAAAUUCACUAGAUCCUAGUGUGGCGCAGUGGGUUUAGCCACCACUUGUGGCACUGGCAUCCCAUAUUGGAGGGCUAGUUUGAAUCCUGGAUGCUCCACUUCUGAUCCAUCUCCCUGGGAAAGCAGUGGAAGGUGAUCCAAAUAUGUAGGGCCCUCCCACCCAGAUGGGAGACCCCUAUGGAUUUCUGGGCUCUUGGCACUGGCCAGGACGAGCCCCAGCCACGUGGCAAUUUGAGGAGUGAACCAGCAGUUGGCAGAUCGAUCUCACUCUGUUCUUCUCUCCCUUUCUAUCACUCUGCCUUUAAAAUAAAUAAAUUUUUUAAAAAAAGAAUUCACUAAAGAGCUCACCAACAGAAUUUAGCUGGAAAACAAAACUUGAAAAAUAGUUUAAAUGAGGUUAUGCAGUCCGAAAAAUGUAAGAAAAAGUGAAAGAAGAAAGUGAACAGAGAUUCAGAGAAGGGACACCAUCAACCGCACUAAUAGAGACAUAAUGGGAGCUGCAGGAGGAAGCAAGAAAGAAAAGAACAGAAAAUGCUGCAAGAGCUUGUGGCUAAAAAUGUUCCACAUUUUAUGAAAAUAUAAAUCUAUGCAUCUAUGUAACUCAUAAGACCUGGAUAUUGGAAACUACACAUCACUGAAGGAAAUUAAAGAACAUGUACAUAAAUGAAAAGACACCCUAUGUUUGUAAUUUGGAAGACUUAGUAGUAAAAUGCCAACACUUUCCAAGCUGAUUUACAGAUUCAGUUUCUUUCUAAAGUCCAGCUCCUUUUCUGCAUGGAAACUGGCAAGCUGAUCUUAAAAUUCAUCUGCAAUUGCAAGAGAUCGUGAAGAGCAAAGAUAACCUUGAAAAGAAAACAAAGUGUGAGGGUUCAAACUUCCAAUAGCCUCAUCAGAGUAAAAUCAACAAGAUGGAACAAACAAAUAUUUGGCAGGCAUCCAUGGACAAACAAGGCAUUGUGCAAGCUUUAAGAUACAGGUAGGAUGUGGAGGAAACCUAAGUGUCUCAUUGGAUAGAUGGAUAAAGGAAAUAUUCAUAGCCACGUUUCUUGCCUAAAUUGAGAGAUUAAAUCAAUCAGGUUGAAUCAUACUGUUUUGUGUUAAAAGUCAAGCAUAAUGGUUAUUUUAUAACUUUACUCCUAAAGUUUUAGUAGAUCAAUCUGCAUCCAUAGGUCAGCCAUGUUGGGAAUGCAACUUUCCUUAAGCAGUCUGCAUAGCACAGGUGUUAAGAUCAUAGAUGGUGCUGAGAGACUACAGUUCCUAGCUCUGCCUCUUUCUGCCUGGUAUUUAAAAAUUUGUUAAUAUUUAUUUACUAUUACCUUGCUACAAGAAAAUCCAAAACAGAAGUUCUAAAAAUGCUUCAAACAUUGGUGUCAUCUUUUGAAUAAGCAACUUAUUAUGAUGAUUAUUCGGAUAGAUUUUAUUAUCACAUAUAAUUUACAGUAGGGUCAUAUAAGUAGUUUCUUUACUUUGGCCAGACUUUUAUAUAUAAUCACAGAUUUCAAUAGGGGAUGGAUCUCAUGAUUUUUUUUAAUAAAAAUGAGAUGUCCAGGGGUGGUUGUUAUGGCACAGCAGGUAUAGCUGCUGCUUAUGUAUCCCACAUCAGAAUGCUGUUUCAGGUUCCAACCACUCAAAUUCCAAUCAAGCUUCCUGCUAAAGCAUCCAGGGAAUUCACAGAUCGUGGCUAAGCUUCUUGGGUCUCUGCCACCCACAUGGAGUUCCAGGCUCUUGGAUUCAGCCUGGCAUAGUAUUGGCUAUUGUGGGCAUUUGGGGAAUGAACCAACAAAUGGAAGAUCUCUCAUUCUCAUUCUGUCUCUCUCUCUCUCCCUCUCUGUCUCCCUUUCUGUAAUCCUCACCUUCUCCCUCUGCCUUUCAGCUAGAUGAAAAAUAAAUAAGUAAACAUUUAAAAAUAAAAUACAAUAUCUGACACUUGUCAUUCCUUCAUGCUUCUGGUCACAUAAGUAGAAAAUACUGUAAGAAAUUAUAGCUAAAAAUAUUCUGCAUCUUAUGAAAUAAAUCUAUGCAUCUGCAUAGCUCAUAAAAUCUGGAUAUUGAAAACUACACAACAUCAUUAAAGGUCAGAGGUAUGGGCAAUUUGGGACUCAUUCUUCUUCAUGUACUUGUUAACUAUACAUUAGAUCGAUUCCAACUCAGAUCUCCAGCUUUGCACUCUAAUAUGUGUCCUCUAACAUAUGUUCAUUUUAGAAUGUUCUGUUUUCUUUUUGAGCAAUAUUAUAAAGUGUAAUGCUUUAUAAGUGUAAUUGAUUAUACGUGUAAUUUAUAAGUGUAAUUGAUUUAAUACAUCUAUGAACAAUUGUAUUGUGGAGGGCAUACUUCACUUUUUUCAUUUCACUGUUUUGGUUUUUGACAAUGCACAUUUCUGAAAAGUGCUUAUAAAAUCUCAAAAUACUAGUAGAAUUUUGGAAUCAAAUUAAUUUUAAUUAAAAGAAAUAGACCAUAUAGAAUGCUUCUCAUGAUGAUGAUGCCAGCAUUAUAGGUUAGGGUUGUCAGAUUUAGCAUGUAAAAAUACAGCAUUCCCAGGUGAAUUUGAACCAACUAUUGUGCAGUGUAUACUUACACUAAAAUAAAGUAUCCAUUGUUUAACUGAAAUUCAAGUUUACUGGAUAUACUUAUUUUGUCUGGUGCUUAGUGAAUAUGAUCAAAUAGAAGAUUUAUGUUCUCACAGCUUAUAUUUUAGAGAGAGGAGUUGAACAAGACAAUAAACACAAUUAAUUAGUAAACUGAAUAGUAUGUUACAGGUGUAGUAUGUUACAGGUAUAGGAUGAUAAAACAGAAGCAGGGAGAUCCUUAGGCAGGGUUUUGUGGUCAAGGUAGAGAUGAUUUGUUCAGACUAGGGUGGUGACAGCAAACAUGCUGUGAAGAGGAGAGAUUCUGGAGUAUAUUGAAAGUUGAGCCAAGGGGAUUUCCUAAAGAUUCAGAAUGGACUGUGAGAGAAAGAAAGGGCUUAAGGGUGAGGAGCAAGGGUUUUCCCCGAAGAAGUACUUUAUAAACAGCAGGUUCCUAACUUUUGUUGGUUGGACAAUGAUUUUUCUGACUUCAUGAUGGUGUGAAAGCCAUGCGCAUUCAGUAAAAUGAUGAAUGUUGAUCUUUCCAGGCUAGUGCUGUCCAAUCUUUCCCUGUGAUGCUGGGAAGAGGCAACCAGUGCAGCUCUCGGGCAGUCACAAGGCCAGUAGAGAAACCCUGGAUGCCACCUUCCAGUGCACUGUGCUGCUGAGCUAGGAUGUGCCGGAGGUGAGGUGCCAUCACUGUUUCCCACUAGGAUAGGUUUAUCAGGAUGUGACCCCACCGAAGUCCAGGAGCAUCUGAGGUACCAUUAUGAUGGCUUCUAGCUAAGGAACUGGCAAAUUUGUAGGUUGCAAAUAAAUUAAAACUGGAUUUGGUGCCAUUGAUUUGAGUUGCACCUUUUGUUUCCUGUCCAGAUGUUUUUGUGCAGAUAUAGCCUAGGUGUAGAAAACAAGCAGACACAAAGCCUGUCCUCUACCUUUCUGAUUGGAAUGUCCUUGUCCAUAGAUUUCUCACCUUUCGCCGCAGGUGGGAGGUGAAGUGCACAAAGCUGUUCCUGUUCUUAGAAAUCCCAUAAAGUCCAGAGAGCAAAAAAUAACGUACUGGUUAUAUCACACAUCAGAUAACGAUUAGCCUUGAUAUGAAAAACCCCAACCUGGAAGGCUGGGAAUGUUUAUACAGAGCUAUGUAUUGAAAGGACUGAUUGUGAUUGCCUUAAAGUGUUGAUUAAAUAACGCAUCAACAGACAUCUAUGGACACAAGUUAUAGCAUGACCUACUGCUUCUUUGGGGGAAACAAAAGGCAACCCAAGACUAUCAUGUACUAUGAAUAGAUUUUGGCUUAGUUAUUUUAUUUUCUUCCACCUGUUGGGAUGAAGAGCAGCGCAGACAGCUUGCCAGCUCACCAAAUGUCACCACGCCCUGAAUGCUCCAGCCUCAACGUAAUUAUAUCCUUGUUAUUUAUUGAUACACACCAUAUGCCUGUCAUGUCAGAGAUGAGAGAAUGUCAAGAAGUCAUUCAUUAGGCUACACUACAAAGCCUCCCUCAGUGUGCACCACUCCAUUCAUUCUUGCAAGGCUUUCCUGCUGAGGCCGCAUGUCUCUGGGGGAUUAGAACAGGCUACUCAACUCCACCAGUGAGACUUUGAUAGCUGAGCCGUUGUGCCAUUGCUAGAAUGCAACUGCCUUCUCCCAACUAUUUGCCCUGAUGUAGGGUGCCAUGAUUCAGCAAAAUGGUAAAACACAGAUCAGUGGACAGAACAGAGAAAUAGACCCACAGAAGUACAGUCAGUUUUGACAAAGCAGCAAGCACAGUAAAAUGGAGUCGAGCUGGUCUUUUCAACAAAUGAUUCUUGAAAAACUGGACCUUCAUAUCUAAAUAAAUGAAUCUACAUCUUAUAUCCUUCACAAAAAGACAAAAUGAAAAUGAAUCACAGACCUAAAUGAAAAAAUUGCAACACUAGAGCGUUCCUAGAAGAUAACACAGGAGAAAGUCUAGAUGACAUGGAGUAUGCCAAUAACUUGUUACAUAAAAUGCCAAACACAAAAAAUAUAAAAGAAAUAAUUGAAUAGCUGGAUUUUAUUAAAAUUGGAAACUGUCUUGGGAAACAGUGUCAAGAGAAUGAGAAGACACGUCACAGAGCAGGAAAAAGUAUUUUCAAAAGAAAAAUCUGAUUAUGGGCUCACCCAAAAUAUGCUGAGAACUCCUAAAAUGUAACAAUAGGAAAAUAAUCCAAACUUAGAAAAAGACUUUAUCAAAGACCAAAGACUGCAUCAGCUACCUCACCAAAGGAAAUACACAGAUGACAAAUAAGCCUGUGAAAAGAAAAUGCAAAUUGAAACACGCACAGUGAAAAUCUAGAACACCAACAAUAUAGAAUAUUGGUGAGGAUGGGGGACAAGAGGAACUCUCAUUUGUUGCUGGUGGUAAUGCAAAAUGGUAUAACCACUGUGGAAGACAGAUUGGUGUUUCUUACAAAACUAAGCCUACUCUUACCAUAGGAUACAGUGAUUGUACUCUUUCAUGUUUACCUAAAGGAAUUUAAAACUUGCAUCCACACAAACACCUGUGCGUGGGUGUUUAUAGAAGCUUUAUUCAUAAUUGACUAAACUUGGAAGCAACCAAGAUGUCCUUCAGUAGUUGGAUGGAUAAAGUGUGGUAUAUCCCGACAAUAGAGUAUCAUUCAGCAUUGAAAGGAGAUGAGCUAUGAUGUCCUGACAAGAUGUGGAAGAACCUCAAGUGUACAUUGCUAAGUGCAAGAAGCCAAUCCGGAAAGGCUACUUACUGUAUGACCCCAACUAUGUGACAUUCUUGCAAAGGUGAAACUAUGAACACAGUGUGUGUGUGUGUGUGUGUGUGUGUAUAUAUAUAACAGCAACCAGUGGCUGUCAAAGGUUAGGUGUGUGUGUGGGGGGAGGCAUGGACAGGUGUAGCUCAGAGGAUUUUCUUGAUGGUGCUUAUAAUGAUGGAUACAUGUUGUUAUACAUUUGUCAAGACCUAUAGGAUGUAUAAUACCAAGAGUGAACCCCAAUGUACACUGUAGACCAGAAGUGAUAACGAUGUGUUAGGGAUGGUCAUCAGUUGCUACAAAUACACCACUGCAAUGGGUGAUGUUGGUAGUGGGCAGGCUAUGCACAUGGGGAAUCUUUGUACAUUCGCUCAGUUUUGCUGUGAACCUACAACUGCUCUAAAAAUUAAAACACAUUUGAAAGAAAAUGCUUUUAGAAUUUUAGAAUGAUGAAAAAAUGUUACCUGCAAUAGAUUUCAUCCAAGAUAGAAGGAAAAACUAGCUUUACAGAGUAAAUUUCAAUGAGCAUGGGGAGAUCAAUGAAACCAUUUUCUGCAUGUACCCUAAUGCUCUGUUCUCUCAGUGUAAUUACUAUGGGAAAAUUUUCUUUAAAGAUGUGACAAUCUGAGGAAUGGAAGACAUUUCAUCAGCAAAAAAUAGAAGUGAGAAGGUUGGAGGAAAUAAUAAAAUUCCAUUAUUCUAUCAUUCAAGACUAGAGCUGAAUGAGAGUGUAUUCUGAUACACACACAGAGAAGACUAUGAGUUUACUCAGAGCUUCAAUAACCACUAAAGGAUGUAUUUCAGUGAGAAGAAAAUUGAAUACCAAGGGAAACAGAAUGCAAGAAGCAUUGGUAAGAAAACAAUUGGUAACACUUGGAAAUUCUAAGUAAGCAUUGAUAACUUGGGGAUUUGUUUUUAAGCAAGAUGAAAGCAACAUACUAGAUAGUAAUGUAGAUGCUAGGAAGGAAAAUAAGAAUUAAGCAUUUGAAGAUCUUUGUAUAUUUCACAAAGAGUGUAGAUUCAAAUUUAAUGCACUAACUCAUUGCUAACUGCUUUUAUGUUCUGUUUCUUUAAAUUCUGAUCUUAAAUGAUAUCUUUUAUCCUAUUUACUUUCUUUACUGCCCCAAUCUUUUUCUGACAUUUUAUGCUGAACAUGUAUGUCAAUGAAUUUUAGUCUUCUGUUUUUUCCUAAUAAAUGUAUAUAUAUGAUGAAUUUCCCUCAAAGUUCCAUCUGCAUCCUAGAAAUUAUAAUAAGCAGUCCUCUUAUUGUCUUUAAAUGUGAAACAUAUUUCUAAUUUCUGUCUCAUCUUAAACAAAUAACUAUUUUAAAAUUUCUUUCUUUCUUUUGUUAAAAUAAUCCCGUGGGCAGAGGGAGAGGUUGGCUGUCUUUUCGCUCUUGAGUUGCAUUUUUUAAAGAUUGUGAUCAGAGGCUGUUUUAUCUCAAUUUUUUGGUGUUUGUUGAGGCUUCUUUGGAAGCCUAGGAUGCUCUUGAUAUAAUUGUGACCUAUUAUUGAUGAUAUCAACAAAGUAUUUGUCAUGUGUCUUUUUUCCUUUCCGUUUUGGAAGUAAUGGAUAUACUUCUAAUACUUUGACACUAUUAAAAAUUGUUUGAAUCAA